UACGUAGGGGGCAAGCGUUGUCCGGAAUCAUUGGGCGUAAAGAGCGCGUAGGCGGCCCUGUAAGUCCGCUGUGAAAGUCAAGGGCUCAACCCUUGAAUGCCGGUGGAUACUGCAGGGCUAGAGUCCGGAAGAGGCGAGUGGAAUUCCUGGUGUAGCGGUGGAAUGCGCAGAUAUCAGGAGGAACACCGGUGGCGAAGGCGGGUCUCUGGGCAGUAACUGACGCUGAGGAGCGAAAGCGUGGGGAGCGAACAGG
rnacentral:rRNA from 1 species